AUCCAGCUGACGAGUCCUAAAUAGGACGAAAUGCACUUCUUGCAU
rnacentral:hammerhead_ribozyme from 1 species